AUGCAGUGUGUGUGUGUGUGUGCGUNNNNNNNNNNNNNNNNNNNNNNNNNNNNNNNNNNNNNNNNNNNNNNNNNNNNNNNNNNNNNNNNNNNNNNNNNNNNNNNNNNNNNNNNNNNNNNNNNNNNCCACAGCCCCCAGGAUCACAGCGAACUGACCAACAAACCUUCAUUCACUCAACCGCUGGAUUACAACAUGAAGGGGAUCAAUUCCUUUCAACCUUUUCAUCGGAUUGGACAGAGAUCUGCUGCAGAAGUCUUCAUCUUGUGUUCAGACAAUGACCCAAAAAGUACAAAAAACCUUCUCAUUUGGCCUAUUUUAGUCUUUUUCACAUCCAUCAACAUUGAAAUAGCCUCAGAACGCAAACUAAACCCAAACAUUUUAAUUUAUCCUUUGUAGCAACCAGAAGAUCAAGGUCCGCUCCAGAGACCUCAAGCAGAACAACGGGGAGACAUUUGUAAGCAACCUGUGGAAACACUUCUUUGACUUGUUUUACUUUGAUGUAACAGUCAAAGUUUGUAUCAUACAUUACUACAGUAAAUGUAAAUGGUGCUUCGACGUGACACCUGAUUAGUAGAAGAGAUGUUUUUAGCGCAGACAAUUAACGUCACGCCGACGCAAAGUUCUGCUUGGAUCUGUAUUCGUGUCUUUCAUCGCCUUGCAAAAGGCCCGUUUCGUCGAAAGCACUUGAUUGGAAGAUCGGCCUCUCGUGUCGUCCGACACUCCGGCUCGCCGUCAGCUCGCCACGGAUGCACAGCGGCCUGCAGAUUGCGGCCGAGUUCUCUGGGGACAGUUUGCGCGAGGCUCCACUUGCGUUUAGCUGACGAGUCGGGGGCGGAUAUUCUUCUUAUUGGCUCUCUGAUUCAUUUCAUAUCAUCAGGAGACACUUCGUAAAGUUGUCUUCACUCAAGUUCAGUGGUUUCUAUGUCGUACUUUACUUACUUCUACUCUAACUUCACUGGAACAAUGACGCUGUCUUUGUCCAUCCGGAGGUUUGUCUCUUGAUCCUCUCGAUGGAUGAAGGUGCUGAUUUUGGACAUUCUGCUCAGCAUCUGAAACCCACGACACACACUUUGUGAUCUUAUGCUCAAUAACUGCAUUUGGCUUAGUUUGGCUGAGUCGUUUUCUGCCUGGUACCAUAUUAAUUGCAUGUUGGAUUAAACUGCACGUGCAAUCAUGAGAAAGUAAUUCACUGUUGUCUGUUUCAGUCCGUUCAGCUGACAAACCCUCGCUGUGGUGUCAAAAUACGAUUUAUUCAGGCAAAUUAUGGAGGGAAGUUCAUACAACAGAAGCGACUCUUCUGCAACGGAUCGUGCUCUUCCUAAUGUGCUAAAUUCAGGAAGUUUUAUCAAAUUUAGCAAUUCCAUGCAACUUCAAGAAUGUAAACAGAAAUACGUGAAUGGAGCCGCGGUCGUUGUACCUUCUCUGGUUUGCGCUGCACGUACAUUCAUUACUCCCACGAAGAUGCCGCUCACAGCUUCUCACGUUGAGACGACACAUCAUCCAAUUCCCCAAAGCGCUCUGCUGAAAAGACACAGCUCUUCUUUUUAAAGAAUAUCUGGGUCAAAUACUUACAUGGGAUUCUUUUAAAGCAACAACAUUCAAAUAUUUUCACCAUAAAAUAGGGAUCUAUUUCCCUGAAACGAUCCGGUGGUUCAUUCAUUAGUUACAGACAUUUCAUCAAUGAUUAAUAGACUUUUGAUUUGAGUACAUAAAGAACAAUAUACACCUCCAAAUGCACCGCGUUUGCUGGUGACACCUGCUCAAAACGUAUGUAACGUAUGAAACAUCACACGAAAAUUAGUACGUUAGCACGUUAGCUGCUAACGUUAGCAUCCACCCCGAAGUACAGCUGAUUCAUACGCCGUGUGUAGUGUGGCGUUGAUCCAGGUAACAUUAUGGCCUUAUUAACUGACCGGUCAAGUUAAUAUUAAAUAACCCAAAUUUCCCCUUUUAGUUUUAAAGAUCAAGGAAUUAUAAGUAAAAAAUCGUAAAAUCGUAAAAGUUAGUUAGCCGGCGUUUAGUGAUCUGUUUAUUUGUCUGUAACUGUUUACGUGUCAGACGCUUUCUUGUAAAUCUUUAAUCUCUCCAGUAAACAUUGUUUAUUAGGACGAGUUUGAGGGUUUCCACUUCAUUAGACGUUCAAACAAGCCGCGAAUGUCACUUCCAGAAGUUAAGAAGUGAUGUUUGUGCAGCGCUUCGCCCUCAGCGAGGUUUGGUUCUGGGGGGUGGGGGUUGUUUUCUGAGGGGGCUCCUCGGGGGCCACGUGGCCCGUGGAUCCUGGAGAAGGUCCUUAUCUGUUCUUUGUCGAGCUCGCUGCUCCCACAGAUUACAGCAACGGAUUCAGAGCUUUUAUUCUGUGCACAAAUCAUAUUAACGACAUGUUCUAAAUGAACAAUGACACGUUUAUCAUUCAGCUUUAUUGCCGCUGUAGCCCGACCCCUGUUUGACCCGUAUUUCACUUCAGUUCUUUUCCCCUGGUGUCAUUUUACCCGUAGAUGAUAAGCUGUCCACGAGAUGUUCCCUCCAACAUGAAGCCCACAGAGAAGCCUCCUCAGCGCUCAUGCUGCUCGGCUGCCGUCGACUUUAUUAACUAACACAAUAUUUAUUUCACUCUCCUCUUUUUUUAAUAUCCCUUUUUUUUCCCCCCCCCCCCCCCCCCUUUUUUGUUUUUAUCCUGCUUUGUAAUUAUUGACUUUCUCUUCUACUUGCCAAAAAAAAAGUUAUUGGCGAGAUCUCAUUAUAACGUGCAAAUAUUUUCCAUGAAGUUGCGUGAGGACUUUAGUUUGAAGGAUUAAUUGCUUGUUUUUAAUGAACUCAUCCACAUAAAACAGCCACGGCAAUUUGAAAUGCCUCCAUGUUUCAGUAGCGAUGGGGCGUGUCCUCCGCACACCUCCGUGGUUUGGGCGUGGCGGCGGCGGCGGCGUGCGUUGGCCAAAGGGAGGUGUGACUCAGGUGCCCUCUACUGGCGGAGGCGGCUCCACAUCCGUCGGCCCCCGAGGGCGUCUGAGGGAAACACAGGCUUGCUGCAUUGGUGAUAGUAGUUCCUUGUCUCUGGGACAUCAUGAAACUUGAAACCGAAUCAGAACUUUUAGAAUCCUGGUUAAAAUGAGCCGACACGCCGGCGCUGUGGACACAGAAUCCGCCGGGGGCCACUUAAGUCUCUGAGGCCGCGUGCAUGAGAGGGGGAGGCGGACCUCUGCUUAUCUUUCCCAUGAUACGGCGUCUCACGCUGCGUGGGGCUGGCCUCGCCGCUCCCCCCCCCCCCCCCCCCCCCCCCGGCCCGGCUAUUCUCCCGCCUCAAUAGCUCUGCUUGACUCCCCCAGCGGAGCCCCGAGUUGUCUGAGGGCUCGCGGCGAGGAGUCCCUCUUCUCUCGGGGACCCUCGAUCCGCCACUCGGCCCCCGCCAUCAGGCCGGAGGAGGGGGGGGCGGGCCCCGUCCGCGGCCCUCGCUAAGGAGACGCCGACACAAAGGGCAGAAAAUGAGAAAGGAAGAAAGGAAAGUUGACCCGGCGGCGGCCGGUGGUCUGACAGCACGAUUUAUGGCGAGAGCUCGAGGCUCUCGGUUCCCUCGCACGGCGCUUCCCAGCGGCCCGCAGACGGGGGAGGCAGGGAGGCCCGGCGGAGAAAGAAAGAAAGAAAGGGAGGGAGGGAGGUGGAAAGACAAGAGGGACGGGGGGAGGCGAAAAGGUGACGCAGGGGUGAGGCGUCAUGGCGGUGAGAGGAGGUGGGGGGCGCCGGGAGGAGGAGAAAGAAUAAGUGAGUGACGUAUCAGAUGAAGAGAGAUUUAAACCUACAGAGGAUGGAAACGUGAAGGACGUACGUCGCAUCCUGCUACGAUGGAAGAAGAUGAAGAAGAUGAAGAAGAUGAUACCUCGCUGUGAUCCACGUUUUUUUUUUUUUUUUGGUUUCCAGUUCUCUUGAGAGAGACAUCAGCGCUCUGUCUGCUCGUGGUUGCCAUGGACACCUGGCAGCCGCGUUGCCA
ensembl:lncRNA